AUUGAACGCUGGCGGCAGGCCUAACACAUGCAAGUCGAGCGGAUGAAGGGAGCUUGCUCCUGGAUUCAGCGGCGGACGGGUGAGUAAUGCCUAGGAAUCUGCCUGGUAGUGGGGGAUAACGUCCGGAAACGGGCGCUAAUACCGCAUACGUCCUGAGGGAGAAAGUGGGGGAUCUUCGGACCUCACGCUAUCAGAUGAGCCUAGGUCGGAUUAGCUAGUUGGUGGGGUAAAGGCCUACCAAGGCGACGAUCCGUAACUGGUCUGAGAGGAUGAUCAGUCACACUGGAAGUGAGACACGGUCCAGACUCCUACGGGAGGCAGCAGUGGGGAAUAUUGGACAAUGGGCGAAAGCCUGAUCCAGCCAUGCCGCGUGUGUGAAGAAGGUCUUCGGAUUGUAAAGCACUUUAAGUUGGGAGGAAGGGCAGUAAGUUAAUACCUUGCUGUUUUGACGUUACCAGCAGAAUAAGCACCGGCUAACUUCGUG
rnacentral:rRNA from 1 species